CCCGCCCAGCGCUGACGCCUCCUCCCCGGCAGUUGGGUGACAUGUCGGCCGCCGCUGGUGACUCCUCGGCCCGGGCUCGGCCCCCCCGCACCCCGAAGUGCUCCCGGUGCCGCAAUCACGGGCUGGUGGUGCCGGUGCGGGGCCACUCCGGGAGCUGCGUGUGGCGGCUCUGCACCUGCCCCAAGUGCGCCCUCAUCACCGAGCGCCGCAAGAUCCUGGCCGCCCACAAGCAGCUCCGCAGCGCGGCGGGGAACCGGGCCCACACCCCCGAGGACGGGAGCGGGGACGCCACAACCGCCACACCGGAGCGCACCGGGAGCGCGCGGCUCUACCACCCGCGGCCCGUGCACGCAGCAGCAGCAGGGCACCCCGUCUUCCCCUCCGAGUGUGUGCCAGGCCUGGAUUACUUUGAAAGAGAGACCACCCGGAUGUACCUUGGCUGUCCUCCCAUGUAUCACUACCCGCCGUUCUCCCUUGGUAUGCCAGCGUCAGGGUUCAGAGGAGCUGCCAUUUCCCCCCCUGGCUUUCCAGUGAGAGGCAUCCAGCCAUGCCACCCUGUGAGUACAAGAUCUUCAGGAUGGAGGGGGAGACUUCCGUCACAGUUAUUACCCUCCAAUGCCUCCGUUCAUGCCACCUGGGUAUCUGUCUGGAAUACAUUACAUGCCCCCUAAUAUGCCUCUCAGUGUCAGCGUGAUGGCGGAGCCCAGGAGAGGUCUGACUGGUCACAGCUCAGCAGAGAACCAGAGUCUGAGGAUUGUGUCAGAGAGAAGUGUGCCACCAAACAAGGAGCCGAGCACCUAGCCACCCGGGGAAUCCUGCACAGUUACUAUACCAAUACAACAGAAAUGAAUUUACCACUAUUCAGGAGUGUAUCAAUAUGAUUAAUCACUUCCAUAACUUUCUUAAUCUUGUAUGUAUUUCUGAUUUCCAUUCACUGUUAACUGCACCAACCACCUACACACAGUGGAUGCGGUUAUGUUGUUGUCUGAGGUAAUAUACCUGAGACUGCCGCUGAUCGCUUACAUGGAGCCAUGUUGCUGUCUGAGGCAAUAUUCCUGAGAUUAUAGCCUAUCAUCUUACGCGGAGCCAUGUUGGUGUCUGAGGUAAUAUUCUUGAGACUAUAGCCUAUCACCUCACGUAGAGGCAUGUUGAUGUCUGAGGUAAUAUUCCUGAGACUAUAGCCUAUUACCUUACCCGGAGCCAUGUUGUUGUCUGAGGUAAUAUUCCUGAGAACGUCGUCUAUCACCUCACCAGGAGCCAUGUUGUGGUCUCAGGUAAUAUCCCUGAGAACGUCGUCUAUCAUCUCACGUGGAGCCAUUUUUCUGAGGGGAUAUUCCUGGUACUAUAGCCUAUCACCUCACAUAGAGCCAUGUUGUGUGAGGCAAUAUUCCUGAGAAUGUCGCCUAUCAUCUCACCACAAGCCAUUUGUCUGAAACAGUAUUCCUUGUACUAAAGCCAAUCACCUCAUGCGGAACCAUGUUGUUGUCUGAGGCAAUAUUCCUGAGAACAUCGCCUAUCAUCUCACCACAAGCCAUGUUGUUGUCUGAGGUAAUAUUUCUGAGAACUUCACCUAUCCCCUCACCCAAGCCAUUUGUCUGAAACAGUAUUCCUGGUACUAUAGCCUAUCACCUCAUGCAGAGUCAUGUUGUUGUCUGAGGCAAUAUUCCUGAGAACGUCGCCAAUCACCUCACGUGGAGCCAUGUAGUCUGAGGCAAUAUUCCCAAAAACAUUGUCUAUCACAUCGUGCGGAGCCAUGUUGCUGCCUGAGGUAAUAUUCCUGAGAAUGUCGCCUAUCCCCUCACUCAAGCCAUUUGUCUGAAACAGUAUUCUUGGUACUAUAGCCUUUCACCUCAUGCGAAGCCAUGUUGUCUGAGGCAAUAUUCCUGAGAACGUCGCCUAUCACCUUACGUGGAGCAUUGUAGUCUGAGGCAAUAUUCCCAAGCACAUUGUCUAUCACAUCACGCAGAGCCAUGUUGUUGUCUGAGGCAAUGAUCCUGAGACUAUAGCCUAUCACAUCAUGCAGAGCCAUGUUGUUGUCUGAGGUAAUAAUCCUGAAACUAUAGCCUAUCACAUCACGCAGAGCCAUGUUGUUGUCUGAGGUAAUAUUCUGGAGACUAUAGGCUAUUACCUCAUGCGGAACCAGUGACAUAACCCCGACAUACCGCACAUAUAGCACUGAUGGCCUGGAUUCCUAGUAAAAGAACAUUGGAUCAUUGACAAAUUGGCGGCUUUACUGGUUCAUACGGAGUUAGUACAUUCUCAGAAUUAUUGACCCAGUCAGCAAUGUGUCCUCCACACUGUAUAGAACAGAUACACCUAAAUGAAAAAAUAAUACACUCACACUAACGUUAUGCUGAUAUAUCUAUGUUUUCAGUAGAAAGCAGUUGAAACUGUUUGAGAUUUGCCGUCUCUCGUUCCCCUUACCACUUCUGUUAUUUCCAGUGUUAUCGCAGGUUUGCCAUUUGUGAUAAAAAAAUAUUGUAACAAAAUAUAUUUUACAGAUAAUAAAGUUGAUAUCUAUGUUUGCUAA